rnacentral:lncRNA from 1 species
AGACUAAUUAGGAUGAGCGGUGAGGAUAAAAUGGGAUUAAGAAGUAAGGAUCAUGACUUAAUUAUUCAUGGUAAAACUAUGAAGGGAGUCAAUAAGGCUGCACAUGUAAUAAAGUAAAACGAUGGACACCUCUCCCUGGGUACCUUUUGACCUUAAAUAGGACCUGCCGCCUGUCUGUGCAGAAGAGAAAUCACCUUCUUUAAAGCAUGUUAUAAACGGUCGCUGAAAUGCAACCAUAUGUUUCAGGCCCAGAAAUGGAAGUUUCUUAGUUAAAGACGAAAAGGAUGCUUGUGUUUAGAAGAGAGGAAACAGAGGCCGUGCUUCAGGACUAAGCUUUCAGAAUUUCUCACGUCAUUUUGUCAAUACCUAGUUCAAUAACCCUUCCAUUCCCGGGGGCUUUCUGAGACCGGAAAGGGCCGGUGUGACCGAAAUGCCUUGGAGGAAGUCAGGAUUUCAGGGGGCAUCGUUUCUCCUCUGAGGAACCUGGGCCACCCCUGGCCCCUGAACUCAGCAUUCCCUGAACUCGGCAGCAGUCUGUGAGCAGGUGUCUGAGAGGCGGAGUGCCGUCUACAGCAGAGGUGGUUCUGCGCAUGUCCUGGGGGUCGUUCUGCACAUGCCCUGUGGAAUGAGAGCCCAGACGGGUGCAGGACGAGCGGCGGCAGAGUCACACCCUUCGGAGGGACCUCUGUCAGGCUGGACGGGGGCCACAACCGGUCCUCUUAAGUGACUGACCCUCCCACUCGCCUCUUGGCUGUGUCGUGGAUGGAGUGGAGGGAACCAGGCCGCCUGCCCGGGUCUGGAGCGCUGCUGUCUGCUGAUGAAGGCACAUCUUAUGCUGGAUCCUCACCUGUUUUGCUGUGAAUUGAAAACUAGGCUCUAUACUUGUGUAGUUUCCCAGGUUACCUCUCAAGGCAGCUAGGAUGCCGCCUGCCAGCAGAUUCCAUUUAUUUGGACAAGACCGUGCGAGAUGCCUUCCUAAUUAGCUGUAUUGGCUGCUUGAGUCACCGGGCACUCCAGGUGGGUGCUGGGCUGGGGAGCACCGAGGGAGCUGGGUUGCUAACGAAGGGGGUGAGGCCGUAUGUGAGUUGGAUCCUAAACAAUGAGAAACAUUUACCCCCAAGACUGGGGGUAAGAGACGUUCCAGCCUAAAAGGUCAACUGGGUAACGAAUGAGGUCAACUGGGUUCAGAACGACCUCCUUUGGUAGUUUGGUGUCAGCAGUAUGAAAAUAUGCUUCCUACGCAGUAAGAGAUUCAAUCCGAAGUUUAAAGCAGGGUCACCUCGAGUUUGAGGGAGCACACCCCUGGGAGCCGGUGGGACCCGGUGCAGGUCUUGCCUCACGCUCUCCCCUCUGUGUGGCCUGUAAACCCU